ensembl:lncRNA
CGCGCAGGUCUACCAGUGACGAUUACGGCUACAAUGGAGAAGUACUUCCUGCCUGUCUUCAUUAAACCAUCUUUGAAUAGAAUUUCUGUGACUGUGUUUGUUGUCAAAAGUUGCACGUGCAGAAAGGUUCACAAAUAUAUAUACAUUUUUUAAUUGACUGUCUAUUUAUCAUAAAAAAUUAAGUUUACGUUUAAUACUGAUAACACAGAGAGAACGUGAAGCUGAUUUCACAUCCCCUUCUUCCGGAGCGAUUCAACAACAACAGGAUGCCCGGUCGAAAGAAAAGUUUAAUUAGGGAGGCCUACGACAAGCACAUAUCAGAGAGAGCGGUCUCGUACCAGAGAGUGGUCAACGUUGUGGAGAGGAGGACUGCAGUAACAACACCUGAGCAUGAAUAUGACAGAGAAUUUGAAUACGAAACCAGUCGCUAUAGCAGGAUUCAAAGUUACCAUGACAAUGACCAGAGAGGAUACCAUAGCGACAGCAUUCACCUGGGAAACGAUCGUGGAUACCAUGGCCACAGUACUGCCAUAGGUAGCAUCAGAGGGCGGAACUCCCCAAACCCCCGACAGGAGGAUUACAGAGAUUCAUACUACAGGGCAUUCCGAGAUGACGUUCCGGUUGGACUUCAAGGAGAGAGGAGGGUAGGAGAGCACACAUGCUACAUGAGAAAAUUCCAGCGUAAAGCCUUUGUUGAGUGGGUCUAGGUGAAGUUACGGGACAGCAGUGGAACAGGUCUCCCCCCCACCCACAGAGGUCAAGACUUAGCUCCUCUCAUGAGGACUCUGUCUUCGGCCCACCUGGACAGAAUAGACCCUAAGCUCAUUCAGGCCCUGAUUCUCUUGGGCCGAGGGUAGGCCCAUUUGUUCCUGGUGCACCUGGGUGCUAACCGGCAGUUGGGUUUUUGAGAAAUGAAGUUGUUUUCUAGAAAAUCAGUUCUGCUGUUUUUGAAGAUUGAACCCACUUAUGUUUCUCAGUCCAGACACUUCAUUUGAUGUCUACUUUUUAAUUUUUUUUCUUUCAUUUUACACUUAGUUGUGUAAAGCUAUAGCCUUAGUUCUGUCAUAGAGUGGACCUGAAUGAAUUAGCCCUUUCAUUUCUCUCGUUGUCUCUCUCUCUCUGUAUCUCGGUCUUUUCUGCAGGAAGGACUCUGAGGAUUUUUUAAGAAGGGACCUGGGCUCCUACCCAACUGGCACUGCCAGGGACCCCUAUGCUACAGUACGAGACCGCUCUCCCGUUAGAAGGGAUAACCCGCCAGGCCCUCUUCCCAGGAGGGGAACUCCACCUGCUCCUAUUUCCCGGAGGGGAACUUUACCUGCUCCUAUUCCCAGGAGGGGUACCCCACCUGCUCCUAUUCCCAGGAGGGAUGGCCCGCCAGGCCCUGUUCUAUGGAGGGAUACCCCGCCAGGCCCUGUUCCCAGGAGGGAUACCCCGCCAGGCCCUGCUCUCAGGAGGGAUACCCCGCCCGGCCCUGCUCCCAGGAGGGAUACCCCGCCCGGCCCUGCUCCCAGGAGGGAUACCCCGCCCGGCCCUGCUCCCAGG